rnacentral:rRNA from 1 species
UCCAUAAGCUUAAAUUUAACGGCCGCGGUAUCCUAACCGUGCGAAGGUAGCGUAAUCACUUGUUCUUUAAAUGAGGACUAGUAUGAAUGGCACCACGAAGGUUUUACUGUCUCCUUUUCCUAAUCAGUGAAACUAAUCUUCCCGUGAAGAAGCGGGAAUAAACGAAUAAGACGAGAAGACCCUAUGGAGCUUUAAACACAAUAACAAGUACUACUUUAAACAAAAAUUUCUUAAUCACUCUUCACCUGGUAUUAUGAUUAUUAGUUUUAGGUUGGGGUGACCGCGGAGAAAAACAUAACCUCCACAUUGAAUGAUAAAAUUCUAAGCAAAGAAUUACAUUUCUAUGCAUCAACACAUUGACAUCAAUUGACCCAAUUAUUUUGAGCAACGAACCAAGUUACCCUAGGGAUAACAGCGCAAUCUACUUCAAGAGCCCAUAUCGACAAGUGGGUUUACGACCUCGAUGUUGGAUCAGGGUACCCCAGUGGUGCAGCCUCUACUAAAGGUUCGUUUGUUCAACGAUUAA